rnacentral:lncRNA from 1 species
AAACUCGUAAGAAGAGGUAUGAGAUCGGCCAUUGGCAAAACCAGUUGGGAGAAUACAAGGGACUGCAUAAGUUUUGAACACUAGUUUGAACAGUUCAUGUGGGAAAGACUUUUAAAAGAUAGAGUUAUCUAGGAAUUUGAACUGAUCAAUAUCUGCAUAUGCACACCAGGUUAUGGUAUCUUCUCUGAGACCACAAUAAAAAAGUUUAAAGAAACGGGAUGUUUCUGGCACCGAUGGUGAACAGCUUGUGAUUCUUGAUGAUGCUUCUCCAUAAGAUUCACAUCGGUGUUGGGAUUCUUCUUCCCCUUCAGCAUAAUCAUUUGGGAAAGUAUAGGAGAAUAGGUUUGUUCCUUCACCCUUGGCUAUAUAA